CACCCGUGAGCAGGCACCAGCACUGCGCCGACCACUUUAGGGGAAAAGCAGACCCGUGACCAUCAACGCAGUCAAACGAUCGGAGUGUCGCUUGCAUCCUCUCCUAACUCGCCUGCCCAGAUAGAGAGAGAGAGAGCCCUACUGAGAGAGGAGAUACAACCUCGUCAUAGCAAGAUCAGCGUGCUGGAGACCGAGCGACGUCCUUUUCAAUGGAGAAGAACGGCAGCACUGCACAGGCGAUGGAGGUCGACGAACUAAAAGAUGCAUACACCGCAGUCCCUAGUGUGGAUCAGAACACACAACCAGCCAACAAGAGCACACCUGGCGCUGAGAGGAUUGAUGGGGAAAACACGGACGAGGAGGAAAAGAUUGAACAAAGAGGGGAAGCAUAGCAUCGGAGGGAAGCCUGGGGGCGAUCGAGCGGGCGAUGGAAGAAGAAGUGAAGCUUGGGAAGAAAAUUGUGUUCGAACCAGCUGUGUGCAUGUCUUUCAACUCUGAGCAGGAGGCAUAUGAGUUUUACAAUGCGCACUCCUGGGAAGUCAGGUUCGGCAUCAAGCGUGGGAACAAGUACAUCAACGGCAACCCUACAAAUCUAAACAAGAUUUACUGUGCUCAUGCGAGGGCAAAGAUAGUAAACAAAAUUCAAGAUCAUCCAGGACGCAAUGUCGUUAACCGUUAACGUACCCAGCCGCCCAUGGAAUUGUAGACGGCACGGGUUCGCUCACUAGGGGCCUGGUCGUCGUGGAACACCCUCACCGAUGCAACUUGAUUGCGCCACCCGCCGUCCGUGAAACGGACGAGGUACGAUUGUACCGAGAGGGCGGACACGUCGACGGCUACCCUCGUUGAACUCGACGAGGAUUGCUUCCUUCAACGCCCCCGGUCGACGCACGCCGCGGUGAUCACCAUUGCGGUGGCUCGGAGACGGUUCUCUUCUUCCACCAUGGCGGGUGUGCCCUCAAUCAUGCAGUAAGACAUGAACGGACAGUUGUUUGGGUCGGAGGAAAACGACAUCGGGAGCUCACGUUCUCCAUCGGUGGUAUAGUUUUUGGUUGGUUUCUACCACUGAAGCGUAACACAAAGGCUAUUUUGUGGUUUUGGCAUGACCCGCGGUCUAUUUUAUAUAUAAACAUGCACGUCUUUAAAUGAAUGCGUCACA